AAUCAACGCUGGCGGCGUGCCUAACACAUGCAAGUCGAACGCGAGAGGGGCUUCGGCCCCGAUUGAGUGGCGAACGGGUGAGUAACGCGUGGGUGACCUACCUUCGAGUGGGGGAUAACGUCCCGAAAGGGACGCUAAUACCGCAUAACAUCCUGCUUUUGAAUGGGUGGAGAUCAAAGCCGGGGAUCGCAAGACCUGGCGCUUGAUGAGGGGCCCGCGUCUGAUUAGCUAGNGGUGAGGUAACGGCCCACCAAGGCAACGAUCAGUAUCCGGCCUGAGAGGGCGGACGGACACACUGGGACUGAGACACGGCCCAGACUCCUACGGGAGGCAGCAGUGGGGAAUUGUUCGCAAUGGGCGCAAGCCUGACGACGCAACGCCGCGUGGAGGAUGAAGGUCUUCGGAUUGUAAACUCCUGUUGCCCGGGACGAAUGGCUCCGACCUAACACGUCGGAGUGUGACGGUACCGGGUGAGGAACGCCCGGCUAACUCUGUGCCAGCCGCCG
rnacentral:rRNA from 1 species